CCCAGCUCGGCCGCGUCUAGGUCUAGGCAAAGUGUGGAGCCGCGAGGGCGGGUUUCCUCCCUGCCCCAACUCCUCCUCCCGCCCCCACCCCGCAGCUCCCCUCUGGGUGAGUCAGCUUGGGGUGGCAGCUCUGAGGCAGGCAGGCAAGGCAGCUGCGAGGGGGAGGACAGCAGGAUGCCUCCCAACUGGUCCCUGCAGAUCCCAGCCUGGCGCUGGGCCUCCCUGGUGGCAUCCUGUUUGGCAGGAAGGCCUUGGAGAAAGGUGUGCGGGCACCUGGGAAGGAGAACCCUGGCAACGCGUGGAUUUAUGAAUGAAGAAAGAGAAUCACUUCACGAGGCUUGAGGUGGCCUUGAAGAGAUCAAGCACGCCAUGAACCGUCCUGGGCAGACAACAGCACAAGCCGCAAGCUAGGAGUGUGUGAGUGGAAAUUUCAAGUAUUCCACAUUCUUCAUUGAGCUGAGCUCCUUUGGAAAAAAGAGCCCUGGAAUGCAAGCUUGGGAGCCCCUGGAGGAGAAAGGAAGAAACAGGGUACCUGGUCCCCAGUGGGGGGUCUGCCUGCAGGUCUGGGGAGCUGAGGCCCCUCCAUGGCUGCUCCCCACUUGGCAUCCGUUUGAGUGCUCUGCAGCCAGCCCACCCCACUCAUCCAGCUCACACGUCUGUGUGCAUUUAGUUUGAGGUUGGGAAAGGGGCGGAGUCCCGAUUCCCAGUGUGACCUCAGGUCAGUGUUCACCCUGCCCCCUGAGUCACCGACUAAGGGUGACCAUGUGGAGACCACCACAGCUCUGCCGGCCCCUCGCCUAUACAGAGGAGGACUGAGGUGGGACAGCACCCCAAAUGGUGCUUCUUCAGGCCUGGACACUGGCUCUUCUUCUUCUUCCUAUCAAAUGCCCACAACCCAGCACUAUAAGAAGCCUCUAGAUCUUUUCUGCCCCAGCAGAGGACUUCUGAUUGUUUUAGGAAAGAGCUAGCAAAUGAUAACCUUAUGACCACAUCUGCCCUGCACCUACUUUUGUAAAUAAAGUUUUAUUUGUACACUG